rnacentral:lncRNA from 1 species
NNNNNNNUCAGCCGGGACCAGUCCCAAGUGGGGGAGACGCCUCGAGCCCCUUUAUUUUCGGGUAGGUGGACACCCUCUUUCCAUUCAUGCAUCUCCGAGUCACGGCAGGUGGUUGUCCUGAGCAGCCGAUAGACCAUGCCGGCUGUCCUGGAGGGUGGGCAGAGAAUGCCAACUCCCCCGGGUUCUGGGUGAGGCCAGGGUGGCUAGGCUGAGAGCCUGAACCCAGCUCCCCCACCUCCAGUGCCCCGAUCCCACAUCCACUGCCUUUGUCCAUCCCCUGAGAAACCCCCCAACCGGGAGUGCCACUCGAGGCUUCCCAGGUCUCAUCUGAAGAUCGAUGGUGCGGCCAAGAUGUCUAAUCUGGGGAGACGUCGGAGGAGGAGGAGGAGAAGGGCAGGAGCCCUCUUUGGGGGCUGGGGAUGUGUGGAGACAGCCUGACAAUCGAGGACCCUCCUCACUUCUCGUCCGGUCCUUGCCCAGCUCUGUGGCUAUACUCACACCAUUUCACACACUGCCACGUGGCACCAUGGGUCUAUCCCCCCAUCGGCUGAGAUCCCUCUCCUCAAGAUCCAGCUCAGGUGCCGCCUCUUCCAAGAAGCCUUCCAGGCCCCCUCCCCUGGGGCUUGUUGCCGGCUCUCUGGAUCUUUGGCUCAUCCUGGCCAUCUGCGCCUCCAGCGUGCCAGAAAGCCUUUCCCAGGGCCAGCGGCACGGGCUAAGGUCUUUGUUCUCAAGGCUCCGAUGGCCACGUGUCCUCCUUGAUGGGACCAAACGCGCCAACUGCUCUGGAAGCCCUUACAGCCCCGCUCCAGGGGCUCCAAAGGGGCAAACCCCAGAGGCAGGCGGGGGCCCAGCCCGGGUCCUCUCCUACCUGGUCUCGGCCACUGCCCGCAGGGCAUCCGGGGCCGGGGGGAGGAAGAAGCCCCCUGGCAAGCCCGGCAGCGGCCCUGGGCGACGAUCCCUGAGGCCGGGGGCCGAGGAAGCCCCUGUGGCUGAGGCGCCCACCUUGCAGGCUCCCCGCGCUGAGCCCAUGGCUGGUCCCGCACCCGGGGGUGGCCGACGCUGCCCUCCUUCAGCUGAGCAGGGAGCGAAGAGCCCCGGGGAGAGGCGGCCCUCGAGUAACUGCCGAGUCCGUUCAAGGGGGGUCUGAGCCGGGCGGGCGGAGGGCAGGAGGCUGACCUCGUGAGGCCCCGAGCUGCCACGGGGUCAGCAAAGCCGGG